rnacentral:rRNA from 1 species
UGGGGAAUAUUGGACAAUGGGGGGAACCCUGAUCCAACCAUGCCGCGUGUGUGAAGAAGGCCUUAUGGUUGUAAAGCACUUUAAGCGAGGAGGAGGGUACUGGUAUUAAUACUACCAGCUACUGGACGUUACUCGCAGAAUAAGCACCGGCUAACUCUGUGCCAGCAGCCGCGGUAAUACAGAGGGCGCGAGCGUUAAUCGGAUUUACUGGGCGUAAAGCGUGCGUAGGCGGCUAAUUGAGUCGGAUGUGAAAUCCCCGAGCUUAACUUGGGCAUUGCAUUCGAUACUGGUUAGCUAGAGUGUGGGAGAGGAUGGUAGAAUUCCAGGUGUAGCGGUGAAAUGCGUAGAGAUCUGGAGGAAUACCGAUGGCGAAGGCAGCCAUCUGGCCUAACACUGACGCUGAGGUACGAAAGCAUGGGGAGCAAACAGG